CCCUUAGAUGUUCUGGGCCGCACGCGUGCUACACUGAGUGGAUCAGCGGGUCAGGUUGCGCGAAAGCGUUUCCUAAUCUUUAAAUCCGCUCGUGAUGGGGAUUGACGGUUGCAAUUUUCUGUCAUGAACGAGGAAUACCUUGUAAGCGCGGGUCAUCAUCCCGCGCUGAAUACGUCCCUGCCCUUUGUACACACCGCCCGUCGCUCCUACCGAUUGAGUGGUCCGGUGAGGCUUUGGGAUCUGAGCGGAAAGAGCGUUUCGCUGUUUCUGCUCGGAAAACUCAGUAGAACCUUAUCAUUUAGAGGAAGGAGAAGUCGUAACA
rnacentral:rRNA from 1 species